AUUGAACGCUGGCGGCAGGCCUAACACAUGCAAGUCGAACGAGUGGCGGACGGGUGAGUAAUGUCUGGGAAACUGCCUGAUGGAGGGGGAUAACUACUGGAAACGGUAGUUAAUACCGAAUAGCAUCCGAUGUGCCCAGAUGGGAUUAGCUAGUUGGUGGGGUAACGGCUCACCAAGGAGACGAUCCCUAGCUGGUCUGAGAGGAUGACCCGCCACACUGGAACUGAGACACGGUCCAGACUCCUACGGGAGGCAGCAGUGGGGAAUAUUGCACAAUGGGCGCAAGCCUGAUGCAGCCAUGCCGCGUGUGUGAAGAAGGCCUUCGGAUUGUAAAGUACUGUCAGCAGGGAGGCGUUACCUGCAGAAAAAGCACCGGCUAACUCCGUGCCAGCAGCCGCGGUAAUAC
rnacentral:rRNA from 1 species